UGGUCUUUUCGGCAAUAGAAAGCCUCAGAGCGCUGGAAAGAGGCAAGACCACACCACCUACAAUGCCUUGUUGCAAAAGAGGCUGUUGGUCAUCCCUCGUGUUGCCUUUGCCACGAGCCUGCUGUUAUUAGGUGCAGAGAGUGUCUUCCCGAGGAGUGGUUCUGUUGGGACUGUGAUGUAUUGCAUCACAAAAAACAGCCACUCCACAACAGGGAAUGUGCGAUUCAUGGGUUUUUUGAAGCCAUUCCUCCAACCUUGCGCAUCAUUAAAGGGGAAGGUGGAUAUUGCAUCCAUGAGCAAGCUUGCAUUUUGCCAACUGUGAAGGUGCCAGACUGCUCCUGUGAAGACACAAACUUCACUGUGUUACCUGGCAAACCAGUGAUUUUAAUCACCAUCAAUGGGCGUUUUGACUUGCAUCAGCCACUAUAUAAAUGUCAAACAUGCCAGCAGCAUUGGACUCCUGAUUCGAAAGACCUCCUUAGGAGUGUAUAUUGGCCAGCCUCUGUCAGCAGUUCAAUGCUGUAUACACUGGACCUCCUGAACUCCUUUCAGGAACUCAAGGUCAUCGCUCCAGGAUUCUCCAGACAAGCCUUCGCAAAGCUGCUGGAGCA